UACGGAGGAUGCGAGCGUUAUCCGGAUUUAUUGGGCUUAAAGGGUGCGUAGGCGGGCUUUUAAGUCAGCGGUAAAAAUUCGGGGCUCAACCCCGUCCGGCCGUUGAAACUGGGGGCCUUGAGUGGGCGAGAAGAGGGCGGAAUGCGUGGUGUAGCGGUGAAAUGCAUAGAUAUCACGCAGAACCCCGAUUGCGAAGGCAGCCUUCCGGCGCCCUACUGACGCUGAGGCACGAAAGUGCGGGGAUCGAACAGG
rnacentral:rRNA from 1 species